GAAAUUUGGUGCGGAGGGCGACGGGCUCUGCUUUCAGUCCAGCCACGGGAAAAGGGGGAGAGCUUUCUGCCUUUCCAGUGGAAUCCGAAGAAGGCUGGGACGUCCCGUCCUCCCCCGUGCCUGGUGCCCUGGUCCUGUCAGCCUGUGCCUCUCGCAUCGCACCAAAAACCCACCACCGCACUGACACCGCCGUGAUCCUGACCCCUACUCCCCACUACGGCACUACUCCCCAGUACGCGACUGACACCUCGUCCACACCCCGCACGAGCCGUGACCCCCUCUAGGCCUCUCUCUACUCACACUUCGCAGGAGUCGCAGCAGCCCAGCUGUGGCGUGCCGUGCGUGCCGACUACCAGCGAUUCGCAAGAAGGGAAUCGACCCCCCGGACCCAGCCCCCGCGGCUGACCGACUCUCCCCGCGCCGACGCUUCCGGAUCCCGAUCUACGCUGCCGCUGCCGCUGCCGCUGCCCGCGACCGUACUUGGGUGGACGGGUGGGUGCGGAGAUGGAAGGGGGGCACGAGGAGGAGGGGUCGGCGUGCGGGGCCGAGGCGGCGGACCAGUUCGACCGGCUCCCCGACGCGGUGCUGCUGGACGUCUUCAACCGCAUCGGCGACGUCAAGGCGCUGGGCCGCUGCGCCCUCGUGUCGCGCCGCUUCCACGCGCUUGUCCCGCUCGUCGACUCCGUCUUCGUCCGCGUCGACUGCGUCAUCCCCGACGACCUGCCGCCACACGCCGGCUCCCCGCAGCAGCAGGAGGCGCCAGCGGCUGCUGCAGCGGUGCCCCCCGCGCGGGGGCGCGGCUCACUCGCGCACAUCGCGCGGUUCCUGCUCGGUGUCAUUGCCAGGCCCAUCCAGGCGCUCGGCCAGAUCCUCUCUCCCGUCGCGGCGACCGUCUCCCGGCGCUCCGCGCCACAGCCCGCCUCUCCGCCCGCGCCCGCCGCGGACGUCUCCCACCACUCCCCCUCCGAGGUCCUCCGCUCCUUCAAGGAGCUGCGCCGCCUCCACAUCGAGCUGCCCACCGGCGAGCUCGGCAUCGACGACGGCGUGCUGCUCAAAUGGAAGGCCGACUUCGGGUCCACCCUCGGCAGCUGCGUCAUCCUCGGCGCGUCGUCGGUCUCUUCCAAGCCGCCGUCACCGCCGAAUCCUCCCGAAACUGAUGCCGCCGACAACUCUGCUGCCUCUCCCGAGUCCACUAGGGAGCCUGAAGAAUCGGGGAGCCUCCCUGAGUCGCUCUAUACGAAUGGAUGGCUUAAGCUUCGCGUUGUCUGGACCAUCAGCUCGCUGAUUGCUGCAUCGGCGAGGCAUUACUUGCUGCAGCCGAUCAUCUCUGAUCACGCAACACUCGAGAGCUUGAACCUGACGGACUCUGACGGGCAGGGGGUGCUCACCAUGGACAAGAGGCAGCUGCAGGAGCUACGGGUGCGUCCCGUCUCACCAUCGGGGAGCUCGCACCGCACACUCAUGCCGGCGCUCAGAAUGCGACUGUAUUAUGCGCCGCAUGUUGAGCUUCCUGGGGGAACGCUCCUAAAGGGCGCGACACUGGUGGCGAUCAGACCAAGCGAGGACGCCUCAAGGGAGGGUGGAGGGGCUGGGGCUGCUGGUUCGGCAGGAACUUGCUGGAUUUCAAAUGCCUUUGAGGAGCCAUAUCGUACUGCAGCGAAGGCUCUUCUCAAGACAAGGGAGUAUUGCCUUGAAAUGAACUCGUUCUGAGCACCAGGAUGUCAGUUUCAUUGAGUACUACCCUUUGGUGAGUAUCUAAAAGGAAUACGUGCGUGGAUAUUGCCAAAAAUGGAAGUGAUAAACUGCAACAGUGAGGAUGCUGGGAUGCUCUUGAGAUGAAUAUUGGAGUACCAUCAUUCAGUGCAAGAACUAGAGGAAGACAUUCCCGAACUUUUUAUUUUAAUUCCAGCGUAGUGGAGACUUCACGUACCUGUAAGUAUAUACGUGUUUAUGCUGGGGGAUGGACGCACGGAUGGAACGGAAUGGAAUGUGUUAUCCGCAGCAGAAGUACUUUGAGGAGAAGCCAUGAACUAUCCACAAGGUCGGUGUUGCUCGGUUAAGCUGACAUCAUACUUUCCUCUUGGCUGUGACUUGAAGGAGUCCCGAAGAUUCCAUGAUUCAGUAACGUCUUUUUUUGCUUAAAUCACUGGAUUAUGCUGCUAGCUCUAUAUCAAGUUAAUACUCUGAAAUACGAUGUCCUUUUCAGAAAAGUUUGAGCUAUGCUGCCCCAUGUAUCUUAACCUUUGUUUGUAUCAGACUACAAAGAUCUUCUAGGCUGAUUUUAGAAAUAAGUGCCGGGUGAUCUUAUACUGUGAUUUGAGUGGGAUUUCUUGCAUGUAACAAGCAUUUUGUUGGAUCU